GAUAAACGCUAGCGGCAGGCUUAACACAUGCAAGUCGAGGGGCAGCAUAGAUUGUAGCAAUACAAUUGGUGGCGACCGGCGCACGGGUGCGUAACGCGUAUGCAACCUACCCGUCACAGGGGGAUAAUCCGGAGAAAUCUGGUCUAAUACCCCAUAACAUAUGGAUCGGCAUCGGUUCAUGUUGAAAUUUUCGGAGGUGACGGAUGGGCAUGCGUAGCAUUAGCUUGUUGGUGAGGUAACGGCGCACCAAGGCGACGAUGCUUAGGGGGACUGAGAGGUUUGCCCCCCACACGGGUACGGAGACACGGACCAGACGCCUACGGGAGGCAGCAGUGAGGAAUAUUGGUCAAUGGGCGCAAGCCUGAAUCAGCCAUGCCGCGUGCAGGAUGACGGCUCUAUGAGUUGUAAACUGCUUUUGUACGAGGGUAAAGUGGGUUACGUGUAACCUUUUGAAAGUACCGUACGAAUAAGGAUCGGCUAACUCCGUGCCAGCCGCCGCAGUAA
rnacentral:rRNA from 1 species